AACGAACGCUGGCGGCAGGCUUAACACAUGCAAGUCGAGCGCCCCGCAAGGGGAGCGGCAGACGGGUGAGUAACGCGUGGGAACGUACCCCCCGGUUCGGAAUAACUCAGGGAAACUUGAGCUAAUACCGGAUACGGCUGAGAGGCGAAAGAUUUAUCGCCGGGGGAUCGGCCCGCGUCCGAUUAGCUAGUUGGUGUGGUAAUGGCGCACCAAGGCGACGAUCGGUAGCUGGUCUGAGAGGAUGAUCAGCCACAUUGGGACUGAGACACGGCCCAAACUCCUACGGGAGGCAGCAGUGGGGAAUAUUGGACAAUGGGCGCAAGCCUGAUCCAGCCAUGCCGCGUGAGUGAUGAAGGCCUUAGGGUUGUAAAGCUCUUUCGCCCACGACGAUAAUGACGGUAGUGGGAGAAGAAGCCCCGGCUAACUUCGUGCCAGCAGCCGCCGUAAAAC
rnacentral:rRNA from 1 species